rnacentral:rRNA from 1 species
UCAGCAGCCGCGGUAAUACGUAGGUCCCGAGCGUUGUCCGGAUUUAUUGGGCGUAAAGCGAGCGCAGGCGGUUAGAAAAGUCUGAAGUGAAAGGCAGUGGCUCAACCUUGUAGGCUUUGGAAACUGUUUAACUUGAGUGCAGAAGGGGAGAGUGGAACUCCAUGUGUAGCGGUGAAAUGCGUAGAUAUAUGGAGGAACACCGGUGGCGAAAGCGGCUCUCUGGUCUGUAACUGACGCUGAGGCUCGAAAGCGUGGGGAGCGGACAGGAUUAGAUACCCUGGUAGUCCACGCCGUAAACGAUGAGUGCUAGGUGUUAGGUCCUUUCCGGGACUUAGUGCCGCAGCUAACGCAUUAAGCAUCCCACCUGGGGAGUACGCCGGCAACGGUGAAACUCAAAGGAAUUGACGGGGGCCCGCACAAGCGGAGGAACAUGUGGUUUAAUUCGAUGAUACGCGAGGAACCUUACCCGGGCUUGAAUUGCAGACGAACGAUUCAGAGAUGAAGAGGCCCUUCGGGGCGUCUGUGAAGGUGCUGCAUGGUUGUCGUCAGCUCGUGCCGUGAGGUGUCGGCUUAAGUGCCAUAACGAGCGCAACCCCUUUUUUCAGUUGCCAUCAGGUAAUGCUGGGCACUCUGGAGAUACUGCCACCGUAAGGUGUGAGGAAGGUGGGGAUGACGUCAAAUCAGCACGGCCCUUACGUCCGGGGCUACACACGUGUUACAAUGGCCGGUACAGAGGGAAGCCACCAGGCGACUGGGCGCUGAUCCAUGAAAACCGGUCUCAGUUCGGACUGGAGUCUGCAACCCGACCCCACGAAGCUGGAUUCGCUAGUAAUCGCGCAUCAGCCAUGGCGCGGUGAAUACGUUCCCGGGCCUUGUACACACCGCCCGUCAAGCCAUGAAAGCCGGGGGUGCCUGAAGUCUGUGACCGCGAGGAACGGCCUAGGGCAAAACUGGUGAUUGGGGCUAAGUCGUAACAAGGUAGCCGU